rnacentral:rRNA from 1 species
UACGUAGGUGGCAAGCGUUGUUCGGAAUUAUUGGGCGUAAAGGGCGCGUAGGCGGCUUGUUAAGUCAGCUGUGAAAGCCCGGGGCUCAACCCCGGAGGGUCAGCUGAUACUGGCUAGCUAGAGUACGGAAGAGGUAGCUGGAAUUCCCGGUGUAGCGGUGAAAUUCGUAGAUAUUCGGAGGAACACCAGUGGCGAAGGCGGCUCACUGGUCCGGUACUGACGCUGAGGUGCGAAAGCCAGGGGAGCGAACGGG